rnacentral:rRNA from 1 species
UACGUAGGGUGCAAGCGUUGCUCGGAAUCAUUGGGCGUAAAGCGUACGCAGGCUGUUCGUUAAGUCGGGUGUGAAAGCCCAGGGCUCAACCCUGGAAUGGCGCCCGAAACUGGCGAGCUUGAGUGCGGGAGAGGGAAGCGGAAUUCCUGGUGUAGAGGUGAAAUUCGUAGAUAUCAGGAGGAACACCGGUGGCGAAAGCGGCUUCCUGGCCCGACACUGACGCUCAUGUACGAAAGCGUGGGGAGCAAGCAGG